CCCUUAGAUGUCCGGGGCUGCACGCGCGCUACACUGAAGGAAUCAGCGUGCUAAAACCAUUGUCGAAAGGCAUUGGUAGACCCAUUAAAAUCCUACGUGAUUGGGAUCGGGAAUUGCAAUUAUUUCCCUUGAACGAGGAAUUCCCAGUAAGUGUGGGUCAUAAGCUCGCGUUGAUUACGUCCCUGCCCUUUGUACACACCGCCCGUCGCUGCCCGGGACUGAGCCGUUUCGAGAAAAGCGGGGACUGCUGCUGUCGGGGCUUUCGGGCCUUGGCUUCGGUGGAAACCGCUUUAAUCGCAGUGGCUUGAACCGGGCAAAAGUCGUAACA
rnacentral:rRNA from 1 species